ACGAAAACUGGGGGAUUGCGUGGGUGGGAUGAAGGGGGUGCUUCAGGGGACAGGGCCUCGCCUCCCUUGAGCAGACGCAGCUCCCCCCCACCCACUCUCCGGGCGGGGCGCGGCACGUGGGCAGGUGCCAUCCCGCGCCCUAAAAAUAACGGCAGGGAACUAGGUCGCGGCCGCGGGGAGGCGGCCCCGCAGCGGCUGCCCGACCAGGGGUCUGGAGUAGCCCCCAGGGGGAAGAUAAAGGGCACUGAAGUGGCCAUGGAGGUGCGCCAUGGAAUAUGAGGCCCUUGGGAAGCCUCUCUGCAAGACUGGAGAGGCCAACCCCGAAGUGGGGGAGGAGAGCCAAACCCUCUUUCAUACCACUGUUCAAGAGAUUGGAGCUGGAGGCAUGUAGAGCCCAGGGCCCAUAACUAAAGCAAUGUGCUACCCCCAGGGGCAUUCAGGUCACUGGGCUGACUGUCUGGCCCAACCUGUCUUAAAAUGGAGGGCGUUAGCGCCUGAGGAGUUACAAGGAACUCUCUCACUGUGCUUAGACUGACAGGAGUCCCAGCAUCCCACUCCCAAGACACAUCCCUGGAGCCCACAGCCAGGGACCUUCUGACUGCAGACUAAUCUAGGGAUAAGACCUGGCCAAUCCCCCAAAAGCUUGAUCAUCCUGGGACCCCUCAGCACCCCCAGGGCCCAGGUUUGAGCCAGUGGUGCAGAUGUCUCAGGAAUUGGCAUCAGAGGUUUGCAAGCUUUCAGCCUCUGGAAGAUCUAAACAUCUGAGGGUGGGAGUUAAUCGGGGUAAACAAUUUUCAGACUCGCACUGGCUCUCUCACUGAUUCUCUAAAUUCCAGAAGAGUUCUAGGGUUGGGAAAGGAUCAGUCAUUGAAUCUUACACACAGCUUUCAUUUCACAGAUGAAAAAACUAAGGCCCAUAGAGGGAAAAUGACUGCCUGUGGACAUAACACCAGUGAAUGGCAGAAUUUUGUCUAGCAUCCUGUUUGCCUCACUUCAGUUUAGGACUCGUGUCAUCAAUAGAACUUAUAAAAUCUGUCUUGCCUCCAUAAAAGAGACAAGGGUGCAGUCAUAUCCAAGCCCCUCAGCAGCUGCUGAUCAUUAGCUCCUGAAAAAAAGAAAAGAAACAGGAACUAGGUCUGAGAUGCGCUUUCUUCCUUUUCUUGUGCUCAGGCUUCAAAAUUGCAGGGCUAGAAUGGACUCUUGGCUUGCAACUGAAAGGGAAGCCUCCAGAAAACAUGCAACGAUCCUAAAGAGCCAUUCGUAUACCUGGAGACCAAGAUAUAGGACAGCACUUUUUCAGAACCAUGGACAGGGCCCAAGGCUCAGCUUUACUUGUAUUGAUAAAAUUUGUCAGUGGCUUCAGUUUGGGUCAACCGUGGAGUCUUCAGCAACUGAUUCAAAGAUGCCUCUGAGGGACCUACCGACCAAGUAUUGCUGCCACUUGGUUUUUCGGAUACCCAAAGGACCCUAAAGGGUGAAGAGUUAGCUAUUCAGACAAGUUGUGGGCAUGGGUAUUCUUGGCACUCCCAAAAAGAAAACCACCAAAAGGGUAAGAUGAGUUUGGUGACAGAGGUUAAAAGAAUAGCAGAUGAGAAGGCCAGUGCUCAAAAAUUUUUAAGCAUUCCACUACACCUACACACACACACACACACACACACACACACACACACCCCAGCAG